GCAGUGUGACAAAUUUCAAUGGAACAUCCAUUUCAUCAUUAUCAUUUGCAGGGAAUGCAAGCCUAUUUUGAAAUGGAUUUUCAGCCGAUGUUGUUCACUGACAAAUUUGCUUCAUGCGGGAUAUUUUCAAUUUUUUGCAAUAAUCAGUACCUACUGAUGCGACGCAAAUUCGCAUGUGGUACAUCCUUUGCGAUUUCAAGAAUUGUUUGCUGUAAAUAUUUGAUGUGAAAUUUUUGAAGACUUAUUUACCUUUUUUGAGAGUGGAUUAGGCCUAUGGGGAUAAAACGCGCUUCAUUAUUUACUUCAAUAAGCGGUGAGGAAAA